ACAGAGACAGGGCGCGGUCCACAGGAAUAGUUACAUGAUCCACAGGUGCGGAUCACAGCGAGAGAAAGAUCUUGGGCACGAUCCAACGACUGAUAUUUAAUCUGAAGUUCGAUCCAACGGCUGCUGUUCGUUGUCGGUUUAUAAGAGGGGUUUUUGCACGAUUCGACGGUCCAAAACGAUCUAUCACGUGAUCCAACGGCUAUUAUCGCUUUCGAUUUUGAUAAGGAGUUAAACUGCGCGAUCCGACGGUCCAGAACUAAUCCCAAGCACGAUCGGAUGGCUGUGGUUUGAUCCGACUUUGAUAAGGAUUAAAAUGAUUAAUUUUUUAUCAGAUCUGAGCUGUCCAAGCUCCAUCCGACGGCCAGAAAUAUUCCUAAGGGGAUUAAUAUAAUUUCUAAGGAUUUUAGGAUUCCUUUUCCUACUAAAAAAUUAUAAAAAAUUUAUCUAUAAAUAGGAGAUCCGGGAAUAAGUUUUGAGAGCAAAAAAAAUUGAGUAGAAAGUAUAAAAAAAUAGAAAAAAAUUAAAUAGCUUUAGGGACCCA
rnacentral:lncRNA from 1 species